AUUGGGACUGAGACACGGCCCAGACUCCUACGGGAGGCAGCAGUAGGGAGUAUUUGGCAAUGGGGGAAACCCUGACCGAGCAACGCCGCGUGCGCGAUGGAGCCCUUCGGGGUGUAAAGCGCUGUGAUGGGACUGGAACCGCCGCCGGAGGAAAUGCCGGCGGCCUGACGGCCCCUUUAGAAAGCAACUGCUAACUACGUGCCAGCAGCAGCGGUAAUACGUAGGUUGCAAGCGUUAUCCGGAAUUAUUGGGCGUAAAGAGUGAGCAGGCGGCUCUGUAAGCCGGGGGUCAAAUGCACGGGCUCAACCCGUGUUCGUCCCCGGAACUGCAGGGCUAGAGUACUGGAGAGGCAAGCGGAACUCCUCAUGUAGCGGUGAAAUGCGCAGAUAUGAGGAAGAACACCGGCGGCGAAGGCGGCUUGCUAGACAGCGACUGACGCUCAGUCACGAAAGCGUGGGCAGUAAAUAGGCUUAGAUACCCUAGUAAUCCACGCCGUAAACGUUGGGGACCAGGUGGUCGGGGCAUACCCGGCCGCCGAAGCAAACGCAAUGAGUUCCCCGCCUGGGUACUACGUUCGCAAGAAUAAAACUUAAAGGAAUUGACGGGGGCCCGCACAAGCAGUGGAGCAUGUGGUUUAAUUCGUGGCUACGCGGAAAACCUUACCUGGGUUUGACAUCCCGCUAAAGGCCCAAGAGAUUGGGAGAUAGUUAUAGCGGUGAACGGUGGUGCAUGGCUGUCGUCAGCUCGUGUCGUGAGAUGUUGGGUUAAGUCCCGCAACGAGCGCAACCCCCGCCUUCAGUUGCCAUCAUCAAGUUGGGCACUCUGGAGGGACCGCCGGCGCAAGUCGGAGGAAGAUGGGGAUGACGUCAAGUCAUCACGCCCCUUAUGCCCAGGGCGACACACGUGCUACAAUGGCAGGCACAACGCGAUGCGACCGUGCAAGCGGAAGCGGAUCGCUCAAAGCCUGUCUCAGUUCGGAUCGGGGUCUGCAAUUCGACCCCGUGAAGCCGGAAUUGCUAGUAAUCGCGGAUCAGCAUUGCCGCGGUGAAUACGUUCUCGGGCCUUGUACACACUGCCCGUCACACCAUGAGAGCCGGAAAGGCCCAAAAGCGUCUGCCCAACCUUACGGGGGGCGGCGUCUAAGGCAGGUCCGGUGAUUGGGGUUAAGUCGAAACAAGGUAUCCCUUCGAGAACGAGGGGAUG
rnacentral:rRNA from 1 species